rnacentral:rRNA from 1 species
AACGAACGCUGGCGGCAGGCUUAACACAUGCAAGUCGAACGCCCCGCAAGGGGAGUGGCAGACGGGUGAGUAACGCGUGGGAACAUACCCUUUCCUGCGGAAUAGCUCCGGGAAACUGGAAUUAAUACCGCAUACGCCUACGGGGAAGAUUAUCGGGAAGGAUUGGCCCGCGUUGGAUUAGCUAGUUGGCGGGGUAAAGGCCUACCAAGGCGACGAUCCAUAGCUGGUCUGAGAGGAUGAUCAGCCACAUUGGGACUGAGACACGGCCCAA